UACGUAGGAGGCAAGCGUUGUCCGGAGUUACUGGGCGUAAAGCGCACGCAGGCGGUUCAGUCAGUCUGUAGGGACAGGGCACAGCUCAACUGUGUCAGGCUUACGGAAACUGCUGAACUUGAGGGCUUCAGAGGGAUGGGGAAUUCCGGGUGGAGUGGUGAGAUGCGUAGAGAUCCGGAAGAACACCAAAGGCGAAGGCACCAUCCUGGGGAGUCACUGACGCUCGGGUGCGAAAGCUAGGGGAGCGAACGGG
rnacentral:rRNA from 1 species